GGUUAAGCCGCCGCUGAGGCCGGAAGGAGCUAGACGGAGGUCGGAUCCCAGGGUCUGAGAGAGAGCCAAGAUGAAUAUGGCCUUCCAAGAAGACAUGCUGACAAGAAAAGACUCAGAGUGCCCAGGAGCUUCCCCUUCCUACCAACCCUGCAGCCUGGAACCCUAGCCAUACCUCUCCCUGACUGUGGACAGUACAGCCUUUGAGCUGAGCCAAGCUGCUCCCCUGGCGAUUUCCAUAAGAGUACCACUUAUCAGCACCUUGGACAGCAUACAAAUGAUUCUGCAUCUCCAGUUUUGAUCAGCGACUGGUUGAAUCCGUGGAUGCAAAACCUGUGGAUACAGAGGGACAGAGGCCUACUGUACAUGGCACAUGG
rnacentral:sRNA from 1 species